UCCGUGAACUUUUCUUUCUCAUAUUGAAUACUAGCUCUGUGAUGUCAGUCAGCAAAAGAACGCUUUGCGUUUUCAAUGUCUAGUUUGGUGUCGAGUCGAAAGCGCAUGGCAGAGUAUUCCACCUUUUCUGACAAGUGGAGUAUUAUUGAGGAGACAAUACGCUGCAUUUUCAAAAAAGAGGUGUCGAAGAACUCGUUCCAGAGAAUACACCACUCUGUUUUUCAGUUGUGCCAAGCACAUUACGGGAGCCUCGUAUUGGAGCAGCUGGAAGAACAGUUUUUUGCCCAAGUUUCCAUCAUCGUCAAUCGAAUCGAUGGCUCUUCAACGUAUGUUGCCGAUUUUUUGCGUGAGUGGCAGGACUACAAUGACUCCGUGAGCCAAAUCAGCAACAUUCUCUUGUACUUCAACAAGAACUAUAUGUACGCCUGCCAUCAUUCUUCCAUCGAACAUCUUGGCGAGCGUAUCUUUUGCUCCUCUACUUUAGGCAAUCCUGAAGUCUCUGCGUGUCUGAUUGCCUCCAUCAAGCAGCUGAUUCACGUGCCUGCCGCAGAGUCCACGAUUCGGGACAUUGGCCAGGAAUUAUACACCGCAGAAGGCAGUAAGUACUUUGCACGUUGCAUGGAAACCCCCUUCGUCGAUGCAAUGGUCGAUAAGUAUGUUGUGCAAGGGGAGCAGCAGAAGCAGGCUCUCACCACUAGCGGUUAUUUGCAGUGGGUACAGAACGUUGUGUGUAGCGAGAGCCACAAGUAUGCCGAUACGUUCUUCUACAUUCUACUGGACAAGCUGAAAAGCGCACUUUACUCCUCACUCGUUCUCAGCGAUCCAUCAUCUGUAAAUGAAAUGCUGACGGGGCCGACAGGCUUGGUGCAGAUGCUGGAGGAGUGGGAUGUAGCCAGCAUUUCCACUUUUGUGCAGGUUUUCUGUGCGAUGAAGCGGGAGAAGGACGUCACUGACGUUAUUGCGCAUGUACUGAAAGAGAAAUGCGAGGACAUCAUAAACGAUCGAGACACAAGCACCUUUCCUUUUCCAGGGGUACAAAAGAUGCUGCAACUGAUUGAGAGGGCAAAAGCGCUUGACGGCCUCUUUCCAUCGGAAGAAGGGCAUAGCCCGUCACCAUUUUUACGUGUUAUUCGCAACGUCUUGGGCAAUGAUACGCGCUUUAUGGAAACCCUCUCGGUUUACUACGACAACGGUAUUCGGCAAGGCAAGGAUGAUAUUGUGAGCACAGUAGGAAACAAUGUUCUUACUAUUUUGCAGCUGACGCCUGAUCUUGAGGCCUUUGAAGUGGCGUUUCGAAGUCACCUGGCAGUUCGCUUGAUUUACGCGAAGCCGCACGCGGUGGAUAUGGAGUGUCUCUUUAUUGACCGCCUUUUCAACAUCUACGGAUCAAGUGUGGUGAAUCGAUUUCAAAAAAUGGUUGAGGAUAUCCGCAGUGCCACGGCUGCGCAGGAAAAGCUGAUAGCAGAUAUGAAGACGAAAAAGAUAUCCCCUCCCCUAGAGUUCGAUGUCCUUGUUUUGACAAGCGGUCUGUGGCCGCAGUACACCAACAUUCCUCUUAGCAUUCCGCAGAGCAUGGAAGCGUGCAAGCGCGUUUUUCAGGAUUACUACCGCCGGCGCCACAAUGGUCGGAAGCUCGUGUUUCAGAUGAGUUUGGGCUCGAUUGCUUUUCAGCUUUGCCAUGCUGGCAGAGCGUACCAUGUGUCGGCGCACACUCAUUUUGUGAACAGUAUCAUGGCACUGAACUCGGAUGAAAACUUGAGCGUUGCAGUCGUCGCUCGACAAGGUGCGCUCAGUUGUGACGAGGUACUUACUCAGUUCAACACCCUUUGCCACGUUGGUCUUGCCGAGCGCAACGGAACGGAGUUUAGGUUUAAUCGUAACUUUUACUCCUCGAAGCCGAAGGUAAAAGUGAGUGCAGGGGUGCAGAAGUCGGCUCACGACGGCGGUGGCGCCUCCACCGCCACUCGCAAAGGCAUGGAUGGCGCACGAACAAUGAGCCUGGAUGCCACAAUCGUGAAGCUCCUGAAAGAGCAUAACAGUAUGGAUUACCAAACUUUAUGCGGCGCCAUCGAAAGUGCGCUGCGGGAUGUAUGCUCCCCUACACGAGCGGAUGUUAAGCUGCGCAUAGACGCUCUGAUAGAGAAAGGGUUGAUAACGCGAGGUGAAUCGGCGCACUGCUACUUCUACUGUUCGUGAAAAACACGUCGUAUUUCUCAUUAAAAAG
rnacentral:misc_RNA from 1 species